rnacentral:lncRNA from 1 species
CAGUAAGACCUUGUCUCAAAAUCUGAAGACUAAACAAAAACAAACUUAGGUUAUGAGACAAUACCAUAAUCUAUGUAAUAUAAUCUUUGAAAAAAGAGAUUAUUCAAGAAAAAAAAAUGUCAGGCCGGGCGUUGGUGGCACAUGCCUUUAAUCCCAGCACUCGGGAGGCAGAGGCAGGCGGGUCUCUGUGAGCCUGGUCUACAAGAGCUAGUUCCAGGACAGUCUCCAAAGCCACAGAGAAACCCUGUCUCAAAAAAAAAAAAAAAAAAAGAAAGAAAGAAAGAAAAAAAAACGAAAAAAAUGUCAAUGUCUUUAGGCAAUAUGAGGCAACAAGUCUAAUCGGUACACUGGGAGCGAGCCAAACAUUCUUUGUUCUUGUCUACAUAUAUGCUAAUGUUUCUUUCACUUAAUACAAAUUAAAUUAAACCAAGCAUUUUGGAAUCCUAAAUUACCACACAUCUCCAUCCAUCAGCCAGUGGCCCUUUCAAGUAGCUUUUUAAGUUUGUAGUUGUUAGCUCAUGGCAGGAGGAUGUGAGCCUCUUCCAGGUCUUAUGUUUUUUGCUUUGUGUACAGGUUUUACCAUUCAUCCUGGCAGCCGAUGGAGUCUCGAGGUGGGCCAGGUGUACAUCAUCACAGUCGACGUGUUUGAUAAAAGCAGCACAAGGGUUCAUAUUUCGGAUAAUCUCAAGAUCACAUUCCAGUUUCUGAUGGAAUACUUUGAAGUGCAGCUAAGUUCUUCAAAUGGAUCUUACCAUGUGGUAAAAACCCUGAGAGACG